rnacentral:rRNA from 1 species
CCUACGGGAGGCAACAGUCGAGAAUCAUUCACAAUGGGGGAAACCCUGAUGGUGCGACGCCGCGUGGGGGAAUGAAGGUCUUCGGAUUGUAAACCCCUGUCAUGUGGGAGCAAAUUAAAAAGAUAGUACCACAAGAGGAAGAGACGGCUAACUCUGUGCCAGCAGCCGCGGUAAUACAGAGGUCUCAAGCGUUGUUCGGAAUCACUGGGCGUAAGGCGUGCGUAGGCUGUUUCGUAAGUCGUGUGUGAAAGGCGCGGGCUCAACCCGCGGACGGCACAUGAUACUGCGAGACUAGAGUAAUGGAGGGGGAACCGGAAUUCUCGAUGUAGCAGUGAAAUGCGUAGAUAUCGAGAGGAACACUCGUGGCGAAGGCGGGUUCCUGGACAUUAACUGACGCUGAGGCACGAAGGCCAGGGGAGCGAAAGGGAUUAGAUACCCUAGUAGUC